rnacentral:rRNA from 1 species
UACAGAGGUCUCAAGCGUUGUUCGGAUUCAUUGGGCGUAAAGGGUGCGUAGGCGGCGCGGUAAGUCGGGUGUGAAAUCUUGGAGCUUAACUCCGAAGCUGCAUUCGAUACUGCCGUGCUUGAGGACUGGAGAGGAGACUGGAAUUUACGGUGUAGCGGUGAAAUGCGCAGAUAUCAGGAGGAACACCGGUGGCGAAGGCGGGUCUCUGGGCCGUAACUGACGCUGAGGAGCGAAAGCGUGGGGAGCGAACAGG